rnacentral:rRNA from 1 species
GAUCAYGGYGACACAAGCGGUCCACCGCCGGBGAUGUCAUGAGAAGUCCACUAAACCUAAUCAUUUAGAGGAAGGAGAAGUUGUAACAAAGUUUCCGUAGGUGAACCUACGGAAGGAUCAUUGUCGAC